UGCAAGUGUGUGUGAAUGCACACUGUGAUAGAAAGGCUGCCUGGCCAGGGUUGGCUUCUACCUGAUGCCCUGAGUAGCUGGGAUUGAUUCUGGCCACCCCAGACUCUGAACUGAAUAAUUGGAAACCACAGUUGAAGAGAACACAGGAACCUACUCUCCUGCCAAACAGUUGUUGGAGACUGAGAAGUUUAACAUACUGGCAUCUGGUGAGGGCCUUCAUUCUGUGUCACAACACGGUGGACGUCAUCACAUGCUGGAAGAUGAAGCAGCAAGAGAGAGAGCAAGAGAGGAGGGCACACUCCUGA
rnacentral:lncRNA from 13 species